ACAAGAGGUCUGCCUGCCUAGGA
rnacentral:piRNA from 1 species